rfam:Mus musculus chromosome 14, GRC primary reference assembly.
UGGCACCCAGCAAGUGGGGCUCGAGUAUGGGGGCUUCAGUGAAGAAUGCCUUGGUGUUUCUGUUCAGCUGAUUUUGUGUGGAAGACGCCCUGCAAGGGAGCCUGCUGCCCUGACUAGGGAUCCCGGUUAGUCUGCAGUAAUCAUGGGACAGGCACUUAGUAGCCAUGAACUCUUUGUGGAAGGUUUGAAAAGGGCUUUAAAGGCUCAAGGGAUAAAGGUUAAAAGACUUACUUGCAUUUUCUUUGAUUUUGUAAAAGAGAUUUGUCCAU